rnacentral:rRNA from 1 species
AUGAACGCUGGCGGCGUGCCUAAUCCAUGCAAGUCGAGCGAACAGACGAGGAGCUUGCUCCUCUGACGUUAGCGGCGGACGGGUGAGUAACACGUGGAUAACCUACCUAUAAGACUGGGAUAACUUCGGGAAACCGGAGCUAAUACCGGAUAAUAUAUUGAACCGCAUGGUUCAAUAGAGAAAGACGGUUUUGCUGUCACUUAUAGAUGGAUCCGCGCCGCAUUAGCUAGUUGGUAAGGUAACGGCUUACCAAGGCGACGAUGCGUAGCCGACCUGAGAGGGUGAUCGGCCACACUGGAACUGAGACACGGUCCAGACUCCUACGGGAGGCAGCAGUAGGGAAUCUUCCGCAAUGGGCGAAAGCCUGACGGAGCAACGCCGCGUGAGUGAUGAAGGUCUUCGGAUCGUAAAACUCUGUUAUUAGGGAAGAACAAAUGUGUAAGUAACUAUGCACGUCUUGACGGUACCUAAUCAGAAAGCCACGGCUAACUACGUG